rnacentral:rRNA from 1 species
GACGAACGCUGGCGGCGUGCCUAAUACAUGCAAGUCGAACGAGAGCGACCGGUGCUUGCACUGGUCAAUCUAGUGGCGAAACGGGUGAGUAACACGUGGGUAACCUGCCCAUCAGAGGGGGAUAACAUCCGGAAACGGAUGCUAAAACCGCAUAGGUCUUCGAGCCGCAUGGCUUGAAGAGGAAAAGAGGCGCAAGCUUCUGCUGAUGGAUGGACCCGCGGUGCAUUAGCUAGUUGGUGAGGUAACGGCUCACCAAGGCCGUGAUGCAUAGCCGACCUGAGAGGGUGAUCGGCCACAUUGGGACUGAGACACGGCCCAAACUCCUACGGGAGGCAGCAGUAGGGAAUCUUCCGCAAUGGACGCAAGUCUGACGGAGCAACGCCGCGUGAGUGAAGAAGGUUUUCGGAUCGUAAAACUCUGUUGUUAGAGAAGAACAAGUGCUAGAGUAACUGUUAGCGCCUUGACGGUAUCUAACCAGAAAGCCACGGCUAACUACGUG